rnacentral:piRNA from 1 species
UGAAUUUGGUGAAUGUCGAAU